CUUUCAUUUCAGUUGCAGCACGGCGUUUGCGUGCGUUCGUCUGUGUGUGUGCGCGCUUUUCCCUCGCGGUCGGCAACUUUUUAGCUCUUCUUGGUUCCUCCGCCUCUUUUUUCUCCCGUGUGCUGUUGUUGUGCUCUGGCAGGGCCAUCCAUUCUUUCUAGAUACAAACCAAACAAGAAGACUGUGUGUCUCUCUCUCUCCCUAUGCACUAACCGAAGGGCACUCUCACUCCGCUCCGAUCCGCUAUACAUAGGGAGGGAUAAGAGCGUGCCGAUGCCCGGCUGGCAGUCAGUGUGACACGGGGGCUGGCAACUCCCCAGAAUCUUCGUACACCCUGGUCCGCCAUGGCCAGAAUCUCCCUAUCUCUCCUCUCAUAGAAUCUUUCGGAAUCUCUAGAAUCUCUCUAGAAUCCCGAAUCUUCGUACACCCAAGUUGUGAGUUGCCAACCCCCGGUGUGACACCGGCUCGUGUCGUGUCAAGAGUUGCUUCUCUUCCUUUCGUCUGUGUUUUUUUUUUUUUUCCCCAUUUUAGAGAUUUGGUUUUUCUGGUAGCCCUCUAGCUGCUGUGUGAACAGAUCCCCCGUCUUAAGUAGUCUAAUACUCUUCGCUGUGGUGUGACUUUCGUACAUUCUUUUCUCGCCGGUUUUUCUCCUUUUUUAUCUUUCAUCUUGUUUUCGGUUUUUCCAUCGUCGUCGUCGUCGUGGAUAUCGAUCGCCUCUAAAAGCCUUCCGUGCCGCUUCAGUGUCGAGGCGAAAGGCCGCCAUCGAGAGACUCUACACCUGGAGUGACUUUUGUCGGACUUUUUAUCAACGGGAUUCAUGGGUUCAGCCAUACAUGGGAGGGUAUCAAGAACCGACCCCAGAACUUUUCCAAUUGAAUCUCAAUCUAGUAGUGAUGAAGACUGGGGUGAACCUUCCGAUUCUUCUGGGUCGAAAAAUUCGCGUUCAAGAAAAGAAGCAAAAAAAAAACGCGGACCGAGUGUUUAGACCAGCGUAAUGGGGGUAAACAGUGUAUUACCUUAAGUCGAGUCGGGAGGGGACGAGAGCACAACGUGAUGAAUAGGCUAGCUAGCCAAGACUGACUCCCUUGCUCCUCUCAGCGUCGUCUGCUAGACUCGUCGUUUGCGGAGUCAAUACACCGAGAAAACUACAAACAAAUCACGGUCUCGUAAAGCAGUCAAACCGAUCGACAUGGAUGAUGACAAAAUGAAUGGAAGACGAGAUUUAUACGGCCCCAAUGAAAACUGUUUUGUUAUUGAUGCAAGGAACAUUGGUAACAUAGGAAGAUAUUUCAACGUAAGGAAAGACUAACAAUUUCAUAGGCCCUAUAGGGCUGUUCGACAUGUUUUUUACACACUCAUUUCAUUGGGUGCUACUUACCUGGUAGCAUUCCCUUAAGUAGCACUAAGUAAGAUCCAGAAGACAUUCUCCAACUUCGAGACGAAGACGACGAAGAUGAAGAACACGCGUUGAUAGAUCUAUUAUAUCCCGUAGAUCCAAGUGACAGCAAUGAAGAGUGGAUAGAUCAUCAAGAUUAUAUUGAAGAGAGUAACGAAGAAGCUUGCGAAGAAGAGUCAAGAUGUAUGGAAGCGUUUGAAGAUGAUUGCUGCGACGCAAUUGCGGACCACUUAGAGUUUCUAAACAUGUAGUUUGAGUUGUGUAAUGGUUAAGUGAUGGUAUACGAUGCAUAUCUUAGCCCGUCAUUAUUCCCGUAAAUGUUUUCAAUUGGCUUCAUGCAUAUUGUCUUAAAACAAAAUAAUUUUAAAAAUUAAAAUGCUAAUUGAAAAAAAUCAAUGAUUUUUACCAAA